UGGGGAAUAUUGCACAAUGGGGGAAACCCUGAUGCAGCGACGCCGCGUGAACGAAGAAGGUAUUCGUAUCGUAAAGUUCUGUCCUAUGGGAAGAUAAUGACAGUACCAUAGAAGAAAGCUCCGGCUAAAUACGUGCCAGCAGCCGCGGUAAUACGUAUGGAGCGCGCGUUGUCCGGAAUUAUUGGGCGUAAAGGGUACGCAGGCGGUUUAAUAAGUCGAAUGUUAAAGAUCGGGGCUCAACCCCGCAAAGCAUUGGAAACUGAUAAACUGGAGUAGUGGAGAGGAAAGUGGAAUUCCUAGUGUAGUGGUGAAAUACGUAGAUAUUAGGAGGAAUACCAGUAGCGAAGGCGACUUGCUGGACACAAACUGACGCUGAGGUACGAAAGCGUGGGGAGCAAACAGG
rnacentral:rRNA from 1 species